GGACUACUGGGGUAUCUAAUCCUGUUUGCUCCCCACGCUUUCGUGCAUCAGCGUCAGUAUUGGCCCAGGGGGCUGCCUUCGCCAUCGGUAUUCCUCCACAUCUCUACGCAUUUCACUGCUACACGUGGAAUUCUACCCCCCUCUGCCAUACUCUAGCUCGGCAGUCACGAAUGCCAUUCCCAGGUUAAGCCCGGGGAUUUCACAUCCGUCUUACCGUACCGCCUACGCACCCUUUACGCCCAGUCAUUCCGAUUAACGCUCGCACCCUACGUAUUACCGCGGCUGCUGGCAC
rnacentral:rRNA from 1 species